rnacentral:lncRNA from 1 species
CAAAGAAACAUGGAAACUAUUAUUAUCUAGGAAACAAUCCAUAGCGAAAACAAAAUUAACUCUCCUAACUGACUAGAAUUUAAAUCAAGGAAAAUUAGAAUAUACGACGUUGUAUCACAUACGGUAUUUAGACAUCAAGAAAAGAAUCCCUCUAUCUGUGAACCACACUUGCCAGGAAAUUAACACCAGGGGAAUACCACCACCUCAUACUAUUUCUUAGGUGUCUCAGAGUUUGAUGAGGACUUCCAUGCUGUGUCUCUUCGACAGGCAGCAAAAUUGGGCAAUUGACUACAUCAACUCCAACAAAUUUAUGCAGCCACCUUCCUCCGGACCAUCCUGUUUCUUCGCGCUUUAGUUGCCCCUAUUUCCCAUUAUCUUGUUUGACGCCAAGGAGCCCAAGCCCAGAAACAAUGGCAUUCUUUGGUAUCAACCACCUGGAGACUUUGGUAUCAAGCCUGUUGUGCAAGGCUUCUUCAAAAGGUCAUCCGUUGAUCUUUCUCCUAAUUAGACAUUCAAAACCCUGCAUGGAAUCCAUUUGAGAAGUUGGACAAUAGACAAAGUCCAACACAUAUAGACAGUAAAGAAGAAUUCAGACCGCACUCACUGUGGCUGAACAAAUGGGCCUAUUAAGCCUAUUAAAAGUUGGAACCAUAUUCACCACUCGCAUUUCCUUAGAGAACUAUAUCAGAAUUCUGUAAAUUGAAAACUAUUCUUACAUAUUUAACUGUAAAACAAGAGAAAUUAUACUUCCGUAGCAAAGUCUCACUAUUGGUAAGUAUCUGGACUUGGAAAGGAUGCUAGUUGAUCAAGUAAAGGAAAAUUGACAUCAGACUUUGAUGUGAUAGAUAUAUACACUUCAAUAGGAACCACAUUAACAACUUAUGAGACAAACAAACAAAUUCCCCAGUCAAAGUUCAACAAACAAAACAUUAAAACAAGAGUAGGUUGGUCUAUCAAUGUAUAUAUAGAGAUGUCGAUCAAUUGACAAAUACAUCAAGAGUAGGUUGGUCUAUCAAUGUAUAUAUAGAGAUGUCGAUCAAUUGACAAAUACAUCAAGAGUAGGUUGGUCUAUCAAUGUAUAUAUAGAGAUGUCGAUCAAUUGACAAAUACAUCAAGAGUAGGUUGGUCUAUCAAUGUAUAUAUAGAGAUGUCGAUCAAUUGACAAAUACAUCAAGAGUAGGUUGGUCUAUCAAUGUAUAUAUAGAGAUGUCGAUCAAUUGACAAAUACAUCAAGAGUAGGUUGGUCUAUCAAUGUAUAUAUAGAGAUGGCGAAGAAUCUUGCAUCUUAUCAAGUGGGGAAAGCCUUCGCAACAAAGAUGCUGCUUGCUUUCAAGCAAUAAUAAUUUUCCAAUUCCAUAAGGUAGCUUAAUGCCUUUUAAGAAUAUCUGCACCAGCCUAACAAUUAAUCAUGGAAAUUCAAUUUGCAUUUAUCACCUUUAAUUUGCUCAUCUUUGUCUCGAGUAUUGUUUUUGCGUUAACUUAACUAGCUUGCAAACCACCUGCAAAUGGUUUUAAAUAAUGUGUGAGAUUGUGAGGUCGAACGAAUUAAUCAAAUAUGAUGACAGGAGAAACAAAAUUGAAAUAACCACAAGUAGAAGUAUACUUUUGUUAUAUUUAUAGCAUCUUCUACUGUCUUCUUUUCCUUUAGCUCUGUUUCUGUGUUUGCUCAAUCGCGAUGCCUCAAUCUUUUGCAGCCAUAUGCAGACUUGAAACACCGGGGUGUCCCUAAGGAACUUGAAAAUUAGAAAAGUUUCAGUAUGAGUGACUAAAUAUGAUAAUCGAAACUAAUUUAAUAUACACACCUUGUAAAUCUGAAACUAAAUUACUCAAAUGUAUAUGCCUCUUGGCAGCAAUUGCUCGUGGUGGAAAGUUUACUGCAAAGACUUCCUCAAACCUGUGAAGCUCACACACUUCCUGGCAACAAAGAAACAGAGUCAAUAUACGAAGAUGAUUUUACUAACAAGUGAGAGCUUGCAAAUAUUGGAAGGAUAACGAUUACUCAUAACCCAAAUACCCAAUACCUUCUAAUAUCUCACUCACGUGAGUUCAAGCUCCCAAAAUUCAUUACAGUGAAACUCUCACAACAUAAUUGUCUUCAAAUAUUCUCUACUCAACGAAUUAAUUAAAUAUGAUGACAGGAGAAACAAAAUUAAAAUAACCACAAGAAGUAGAAAUAUACUUUUGUUAUAUUCAGAGCAUCUCCUACUGUCUUCAUUUCCCUUAGCUCUGUUUCCUUUUGUGCUCGAACGCAAUGCCUCAAGGCUCAAGAUAAUUUGAUGACCAUCAAUCUUUUUGCAGCCACAUGUAGACUUGAAAAACUGUUGGCGGCCCUAAAGAACUUGAAAAUUAGAAAAGAUUCAGAAUGAGUGACUAAAUAUUAUAAUCGAAACUAAUUAAACAAACGCGCCUUGAAAAUCUGAAACUGAAUUACUCAAAUGUAUAUGCCCCUUCACAGCAAUUGCACGUGGUGGAUGUUGAGGUUGAUGUGGAAAGGACGUGGCUCCCGCGUAAAACCCACCGCUUCGUUCUAAACUAAGUGACUUUAUGUCGUGAGUUAAGUAGUUUAGGAGAUAACUCAAAUAAUUAAUUUUUUAUUAGUUCAGUAAUAAGAAUUUUCGAUUUUAUUUUAAAAGUAUAAUUCAUUACAAAAAAAAAUACUUAAUAAAAAUAACUGUUAUUGUUAUUGAACAUAUUACAUUUUUUCAAUAAUAAAAUAAUUCAAAAUUUUAAUUAUUAUAACAAUAAAAUUUGUAAUAUAAUCCAUUCAUAUACUACAUACAUCACAUAAAAUAUAAACUAGUACUAAGUAUAAUCAUGUUAUAACUAUUCUUAUAAUAUUCUAUUAAUCAUGUUAUAACUAUUCUUAUAAUAUUCUAUUACUAUCAUAUACUGUCAUUUUCCAUCCGGCAUGUCGAACGUGUAAAGUUUGAGUAAGAUUUAUUAAAGUUGAGUAACAUCUUGUAUGGUCAACGCGUCGAGUGUGGACUUGCAUGAUCGAGUCAGUACAACUAAAGUCGGGUAGAGUUUGGUAAAUCUCUAUAUUGUGUUGAGGUUGGACAACUAUACCUUUUAAGCUACAUAAUUAAACAAUUUAAGUAAAUAUUUGCUAUUUUGACUUAAAAUUUAAUUUGAUUUGAUCUCAUACUUUAUUAUUAAAAAACUUAUAAUAUUAAAUAUUAUAAUCGAAACUAAUUAAACAAACGCGCCUUGAAAAUCUGAAACUGAAUUACUCAAAUGUAUAUGCCCCUUCACAGCAAUUGCACGUGGUGGAUGUUGAGGUUGAUGUGGAAAGGACGUGGCUCCCGCGUAAAACCCACCGCUUCGUUCUAAACUAAGUGACUUUAUGUCGUGAGUUAAGUAGUUUAGGAGAUAACUCAAAUAAUUAAUUUUUUAUUAGUUCAGUAAUAAGAAUUUUCGAUUUUAUUUUAAAAGUAUAAUUCAUUACAAAAAAAAAUACUUAAUAAAAAUAACUGUUAUUGUUAUUGAACAUAUUACAUUUUUUCAAUAAUAAAAUAAUUCAAAAUUUUAAUUAUUAUAACAAUAAAAUUUGUAAUAUAAUCCAUUCAUAUACUACAUACAUCACAUAAAAUAUAAACUAGUACUAAGUAUAAUCAUGUUAUAACUAUUCUUAUAAUAUUCUAUUAAUCAUGUUAUAACUAUUCUUAUAAUAUUCUAUUAAUCAUGUUAUAACUAUUCUUAUAAUAUUCUAUUAAUCAUGUUAUAACUAUUCUUAUAAUAUUCUAUUAAUCAUGUUAUAACUAUUCUUAUAAUAUUCUAUUAAUCAUGUUAUAACUAUUCUUAUAAUAUUCUAUUAAUCAUGUUAUAACUAUUCUUAUAAUAUUCUAUUAAUCAUGUUAUAACUAUUCUUAUAAUAUUCUAUUAAUCAUGUUAUAACUAUUCUUAUAAUAUUCUAUUAAUCAUGUUAUAACUAUUCUUAUAAUAUUCUAUUAAUCAUGUUAUAACUAUUCUUAUAAUAUUCUAUUAAUCAUGUUAUAACUAUUCUUAUAAUAUUCUAUUAAUCAUGUUAUAACUAUUCUUAUAAUAUUCUAUUACUAUCAUAUACUGUCAUUUUCCAUCCGGCAUGUCGAACGUGUAAAGUUUGAGUAAGAUUUAUUAAAGUUGAGUAACAUCUUGUAUGGUCAACGCGUCGAGUGUGGACUUGCAUGAUCGAGUCAGUACAACUAAAGUCGGGUAGAGUUUGGUAAAUCUCUAUAUUGUGUUGAGGUUGGACAACUAUACCUUUUAAGCUACAUAAUUAAACAAUUUAAGUAAAUAUUUGCUAUUUUGACUUAAAAUUUAAUUUGAUUUGAUCUCAUACUUUAUUAUUAAAAAACUUAUAAUAUUUUUAUUAAUUUUAUUAAAUUAUUAUUUAAAAGUCAUACAUUUACUGCACAUUGUCAACUUUCUGUUAUUUUUUUUGUUCUCACAACAGCUAGUAAUAUCAAACAAGAGCUAAGUUAAGUUAUCAUCAAUUAAUUAAAGUUAUGAUUUUUUGUAUAAAUAAUCAUUAGAUAAUUAGUCUAUAAACAAUAUCGGCUACUUCAAUUGGAAACUUGUGAUCAAAAUUGUAUCACAGAAGUGACAAAGCCAACUAUGUGAGAAAUCUGAAACAGAAUUUGCAAAAUUGAACUGGGUUACAGAGAGUAAAUAAGACUCCAAAGGAACAUGGCAAUUAUUAUUAUCUAGGAAACAAUUCGUAGCUAAAACAAAAUUAACUAUACUUGCCAGGAAAAUUGGAAUAUACGACAUUGUAUCACAUAUAGUAUUUAGACAUCAAGAAGAGAAUCCCUCUAUCAGUGAACUAUACUUGCCAGGAAAUUAACACCAGACGAGUACCAACACCUACUAUUUCUUAGGUGUCUUAGAGUUUGAUGAGGACUUCCAUGCUGUCUCUUCGACAGGCAGCAAAGUUGGGCAAUUGACUACAUUAACUCCAACAAAUUUAUGCAGUCACUUUCCUCCGGACCAUCCUCUUUCUUCGCGCUUUAGUUGCCCUUAUUUACCCCUUAAAAGAGUCAACAUUAUCUUGUUUGACGCCAAGGAGACCAAGCCCAGAAACAAUGGCAUUCUUUGAUAUCAACCACCUGGGGACUUUUGAGCUAAGCCAUGACAUCCUGAGAUGGCCUGUUGUGUAAGCCUUCUUCAAAAGGUCAUCCGUUAAUCUUUCUCUUAAUUAGACAUUCAAAACCCUGCAUGGAAUCGAUUUGAGAAGUUGGACAAUAGACAAACUCCAACACAUAUAGACAGUAAAGAAGAAUUUAGACCGCAAUCACUGUGGCUCAACAAAUGGGCCUAUUAAGCCUAUUAAAAGUUGGAACCAUAUUCACCACUCGCAUUUCCUCUAGAGAGCUAUGUCAGAAUUCUGUAAAUUUAAAACUAUUCUUACAUAAUUAACUGUAAAACAAGAGAAAUUGUACUUCCGUAAGCAAAGUCUCACUAUUGGUAAGUAUCUGGACUUGGAAAGGAUGCUAGUUGAUUCAGUAAAGGAAAAUUGACAUCAAACUUUGAUGUGAUAGAAGAUAGAUAUAUACACUUCAAUAGGAACCACAUUAACAUCUUAUGAGACAAACAAACAAAUUCCCCAGUCAAAGUUCAACAAACAAAACAUUAAAGCAAGAGUAAUUUGGUCUAUCAAUGUAUACAUAGAGAUGUCGAUCAAUAGACAAAUACGUAAAAGGGGGAGGGAGAGACCUCAAAGUCGUGCUACUCCAAUAACUUCAAAAUUGUUGGUGACCGCUCUAUCAAAUCCACGCAAUAGUUGCGUACACUCACCGAUGGGUUUGUCACAGAUAACCUGUCAGACAUUAAAAAUUGCCCAAAUUAAAUGUUAGACCAGCUUAGACAGUAAACGGAACAAUAUUCUAAUUUUACUUUACUUAUAACGAAUAAGUGAACAAAGGAAUAAAAAGGAAGUUUGGCAAAGAAUCCCGCAGCUAAUCCCACCAGACACCGCUCUGCAGGCUUAUUCGGGAGUCAAAAUUCUCAAAAUGUACUAAGAAAUGACAUUUGUUUACUAAUCCCACCAACAAGGAGGAAGUGACGUGAAGAGAAUUUACUAAGAAAUGCCAGUGUAUUAAUAUUGAAGGAAAACAUUCACUGACGACCAAAAUCGCUGAUAUAUGCUUAAUUUCUCACUCACUAAGAACGUUCAAUUCAUUCAAAUGAAACUUCCACAGGAAGGUCUCAUUAUUAAGGCUUUAGCUUCACCUCACAUGCUCAAUAAUUCAAAUUUGAGGAUGAUAUUUCUCCAAAUGGAGGGCUCUAUUUGGCUUGCCAACAAUCUUACUCACAACUAUCAUCCUUGCUAUAUCGGUUGCACUGAGCAAUCUUCAUUCUGACAUUUGCCCUAUUAACCUGAGUACACAAGAAUCCGAAACAACUGUUAGAAAUUUUAAUCUUUAUAUAUAGCCAAAAUGGUGAAUAAGAUGAUGUACUGAUAAUAAAUACCUGAGUUAAUAAAUAAUUAAGGGGCCGGUAACAAUCUCAGCAUCUUAUCAAGUGGGGAAAGCCUUCGCAACGAAGAUGCUGCUUGCUUUCAAGCAAAUAACUUUCCAAUUCCAUAAGAUAGCUUAAUGCCCUUUUAAGAAUAUCUCCACCAGCCUAACAAUUAUUCAUGGAAAUCCAAUUUGCAUUUGUCGCCUUCAAUUUGCUCAUCUUUGUCUAGAGUAUUGUUUUUGCAUUAACUUAGCUAGCUUGCAAACCACCUGCAGAUGGUUUUAAAUAAUGUGUGAGAGUGUGAAUUCAAACGAAUUAAUUAAAUAUGAUGACAGGAGAAACAAAAUUAAAAUAACCACAAGAAGUAGAAAUAUACUUUUGUUAUAUUCAGAGUAUCUCCUACUGUCUUCAUUUCCCUUAGCUCUGUUUCCUUUUGUGUUCGAAUGCAAUGCCUCAAGGCUCAAGAUAAUUUGAUGACCAUCAAUCUUUUUGCAGCCACAUGUAGACUUGAAAAACUGUUGGCGGCCCUAAAGAACUUGAAAAUUAGAAAAGAUUCAGAAUGAGUGACUAAAUAUAAUAAUCGAAACUAAUUAAACAAACGCGCCUUGAAAAUCUGAAACUGAAUUACUCAAAUGUAUAUGCUGUAAGAAACCAAACAGUGAGAUAACAAAUUAUAUGUUAGCUAAUUUAAACAAUAGUGUAAACUAGCAAUCGGAAACAAUAAAUGAAGAACAGAAGAAGAAGAAACCGAAUUGAAAUAAAUAAAUAAAAAAGAACCCGAGGCCUGCACAAAAACAGUCUCCUUAAAACAGAUUUACCACCUAUUCGGAGUGCUUAAGGUCUAAUGGUAUCUGUUUCCCAGGAUGCAACGGGUACGAACUUCCAGUCAAGCACAAGCUGGAAAUUCCGGCGAACCACAAUAGUGAACUCGAUCAGAGAAAGACGAAGAAGAAUGAAGGGAAAACAAGUGUGCUUUGUGCUCGUUUUUUGCAAGUGGAAAAAACAGAAGUGAAGGUGUCUUUUUAUACUCAAGGGAGGAUGUAACAGCUUUUGUAUUGAAUUUUCGAAUUCAAUACAUUUUAAUUUAAUUGUUAUGACAGCCAAAUCAAUUUAACGAAUUGAUUUCAAAAUUGAAUUUAAAAAAAACGUGAAUAACAGCUAAAAAUAAUUGUAAAAGCUAAUUUGGCUGUUACAAUAAAUUGUGCCUGUUACAAAAUUGAAUUUAAAAAAAACGUGAACUGUUACAAUAAAAAAUUCAAAAGGAAUUAAAAAACGUGCCUAGCUUGCUUGAUUUUGGGCUGACGUUCGUGUACGCAGGCGCACACGAGUUCAACCCCAAAUUGGGCUUUGAUUCGCACCCCCCCCUGCGCACGCUUGUGUGGAGAGAACCUCUAUCUUUAUAAUUCUUACUCAUGCAUGGUUAAGUGUUUAUAUUUAAACACUUAUUCCUAGGCUUCUUUUUCCCAUGUGGGAUAAGACUCAUUUCCUUUCAAAUUUUCAACUUCAAGGGUGAACUUUGAGAGACAAUUUCUCAUUCACCCAAGCACCAUUUUGAGAAAAUAAAAUUAUACUAUUGAAGUAUCAACGGAGUAGAAUCCGAACCUCACAAUAUUUUUCACUUUCGUUAAGUGGGACCCACUCAAAAUGUGCUCUCAAAUUAGCAUGUUAUGCUAUUUUUUCCAAC